UACGUAGGGGGCAAGCGUUGUCCGGAAUCAUUGGGCGUAAAGCGCGUGUAGGCGGCCAGAAAAGUCCGCUGUGAAAACUCGAGGCUCAACUUCGAGCUGUCGGUGGAAACUUUCUGGCUAGAGUCCGGAAGAGGAGAAUGGAAUUCCUGGUGUAGCGGUGAAAUGCGCAGAUAUCAGGAAGAACACCCGUGGCGAAGGCGGUUCUCUGGGCCGUAACUGACGCUGAGGAGCGAAAGCAUGGGGAGCGAACAGG
rnacentral:rRNA from 1 species